AAAACAAACAAAUAAAUCAAAACUUUCAACAACGGAUCUCUUGGUUCUGGCAUCGAUGAAGAACGCAGCAAAAUGCGAUAAGUAAUGUGAAUUGCAGAAUUCAGUGAAUCAUCGAAUCUUUGAACGCACAUUGCGCCCGCUGGUAUUCCGGCGGGCAUGCCUGUUCGAGCGUCAUUUCAACCCUCAAGCCCCCGGGUUUGGUGUUGGGGAUCGGCUCUGCCUUCUGGCGGUGCCGCCCCCGAAAUACAUUGGCGGUCUCGCUGCAGCCUCCAUUGCGUAGUAGCUAACACCUCGCAACUGGAACGCGGCGCGGCCAUGCCGUAAAACCCCAACUUCUGAAUGUUGACCUCGGAUCACGUAGGAAUACCCGCUGAACUUAAGCAUAUC
rnacentral:rRNA from 1 species